rnacentral:rRNA from 1 species
AUAGAAUUUAUUUAUAAUAUAUUUAUUAUUUACGAAUUUAAAAUUUCAUUUAAAUGAUAAUAAUUACUACUUAUAGUAAAGUUCAGUAAAAUAAAACAAUUACUGCAAAGAAUAUACUAUUUGUUUUAGUUAUCUACCUUUUGCAUAAUGGUUUAAUUAAAAUAUUAAAAAAUUUUUGAACCCGAAGUUAGAAGAUCUAAUUUAUAUUAUUUAUUAGAAAAUAAUUAUAAUGUUUCAAAAUUAUUUAUUAAAUAUAAAUUAGGAGUGAAAGGCUUAUCAAUUCUAUAAAUAUCUGGAAUAAUUUUAAAUGUAUUUAGUACAUAUUAAAUUUUCAAUAAAAAAAUGUUAAGAUUUUUUUAAUAUUAGAAUACUAAAUAUAUAUUACAUAUGAAAUAAUCUUCCAAUAUAAAUUAUCUCUAAUAAUUUGUUAUUUAAUUUAUCUUAAUAAUAAAAUUAUAUUAAUGUAAAUUUAAUCUUAAAUUAAUAAUGUUAAAAUUAGUAUAAUAAUUAAAAUUUAAUUAAGGAACUCGGCUAAUUAUUAUUCAUCUGUUUAUCAAAAACAUAGUCUUAUGUAAUUUAUAUAAGAUAAAACCUGCCCACUGAUAAAAUUUAAAUGGCCGCAGUACCUUGACUGUGCUAAGGUAGCAUAAUAAAUUGACUCUUAAUUGGGGCCUUGAAUGAAUGGAUUAAUGGAUAAUUUCUGUCUUAAAUAAAUUUAUUAAAAGUUACUUAAUAAGUGAAAAUUCUUAUAAUAUAUAUAAUAGACGAGAAGACCCUAGGAGUUUAAAAUUUUGUUGGGGCGACAAUAUAGCAUAUUUAUUAACCUAUAUACAUAUAAUAAAUAUAAAACGAAUAAUUUUAAUAAUAAAUAAACUACCCUAGGGAUAACAGCAUAAUAUAAAUUUAAGUUUGUGACCUCGAUGUUGGACUAGGAACUUUUAACAUUAACAAUGUUAAUCGAUAGUUCUGUUCGA